GCUGACGUAGGGAAUGGCUAUUACACCAUAUACUAUGAAAAGCCUAUAUUGAUUAGCUUUAUUACAAGUCUUCUACCUCUGAAGGGUCUGCCUCUGUAAUAGUGCUGGCCCACCUGAGACUUGUUGAGGGGGUCUUGAGGCAGAGUAUACAGACUGGGCUGGUUACUGCAUGAGGAAUAAGAUUCUGGAUCAUGAAAGAAGGACAAGACCGCAGAUUCAACAAUGUCAGCAAUUGCCCUGGGAUAUUCUUUGUUUACUAGACCAUGCAGGACCAUGCAAGAGAAACCAUGUGAGCUGAACUGAGGGGGAAAAGAACAGAAACUUAACUGGAUUACUUGACUGAAAUAUAUUGGUCAAUCAACAAACAAAUCUGACAUUGUUACCUAGUGAAAAUGUAGGUGGAAUUCUGGACAAAAACAAACAAAAAAGGACUAGAGAAACUUAAUGCUAGAUUUCAUUGUAGUUAUAGGAACCCUGGUGAUUUCUGAUGAUUGCGUUCCCAUUGUAGAUACAGGAUGACCUAAGCAUGAGCACACUUAACUGGUCUGCAACUACAUA